AGGAGGUAGGGCAAAUACAACACAUUCUCACUUCCAACUCGUCAAAUACCACCGCUUGGUCAGUGCCCACUCGGCAUUGGAGACCGACGCAUGGGAUACCCCCUCUUGCGUUACUUUUGGAAGGACCAGGGACGUUG